rnacentral:rRNA from 1 species
UACGAAGGGGGCUAGCGUUGCUCGGAUUUACUGGGCGUAAAGGGCGCGUAGGCGGACAGUUUAGUCAGAGGUGAAAGCCCAGGGCUCAACCUUGGAAUUGCCUUUGAUACUGGCUGUCUUGAGUACGGGAGAGGUGAGUGGAACUCCGAGUGUAGAGGUGAAAUUCGUAGAUAUUCGGAAGAACACCAGUGGCGAAGGCGACUCACUGGACGACUAUUGACGCUGAGGUGCGAAAGCGUGGGGAGCAAACAGG